GGCGUGGUACUUUAAGAAAAAGGUUUGAUUUGCAUUCAAAGAUUAGGUUUAACCUCUAUGCUG
rnacentral:tRNA from 1 species